GCUGGGUGCAGUGGUGUGUGCCUGUAGUCCCAGCUACCUGAGAGGCUGACAUGGGAGGAUCACUUGAGCCCAGGAGUUCUAUGUUGCAAUGAGCUACGAUUGUGCCAUUGCACUGUAGUUUGGGAAACAGAGUGAGACUCUGUCUCUU
rnacentral:SRP_RNA from 1 species